rnacentral:rRNA from 1 species
ACACAUGCAAGUCGAGGGGCAGCGAGGGAGUGGCAACACUUCCGUCGGCGACCGGCGCACGGGUGAGUAACGCGUAUGCAACCUGCCCUUCACAGGGGGAUAACCGGGAGAAAUUCCGACUAAUACCGCAUACGUCCUCCGGGGGCAUCCCCGGGGGAUGAAAGAAUUAUCGGUGAAGGAUGGGCAUGCGUGAUAUUAGGUAGUUGGCGGGGCAACGGCCCACCAAGCCCACGAUAUCUAGGGGUUCUGAGAGGAAGGUCCCCCACAUUGGUACUGAGACACGGACCAAACUCCUACGGGAGGCAGCAGUGAGGAAUAUUGGUCAAUGGACGAGAGUCUGAACCAGCCAAGUCGCGUGAAGGAAGACGGAACUAUGGUUUGUAAACUUCUUUAGUGCGGGAACAAAGCGGCGUCGUGACGCCUGAUGAGUAUACCGCAAGAAUAAGCAUCGGCUAACUCCGUGCCAGCAGCCGCGGUAAUACGGAGGAUGCGAGCGUUAUCCGGAUUUAUUGGGUUUAAAGGGAGCGCAGGCUGCGAGGCAAGUCAGCGGUCAAAUGUCGGGGCUCAACCCCGGCCUGCCGUUGAAACUGUCCUGCUAGAGUUCGAGUGAGGUAUGCGGAAUGCGUUGUGUAGCGGUGAAAUGCAUAGAUAUGACGCAGAACUCCGAUUGCGAAGGCAGCAUACCAACUCGCGACUGACGCUGAGGCUCGAAAGCGUGGGUAUCGAACAGGAUUAGAUACCCUGGUAGUCCACGCAGUAAACGAUGAAUACUAACUGUUCGGAGGGCGACCUCUGAGUGGUAAAGCGAAAGCGUUAAGUAUUCCACCUGGGGAGUACGCCGGCAACGGUGAAA